AACACACAAGCCAGUUCUCUCUCCGGGGACGUGGACAUGGGGUCCCGCCCAGCUGCUGAAUCUCACCGGUGUCUCGGACCUGACUGCUAACACCUCCUUGACUUCCACACGACGCCCAAACCAAAGAAGCUCAGGAGGGCAUGCCCCCAGCUGUCUACCCGUCUGUUGAGAUGCAGAAGAGAAGGGGCCUCCUUGGGCAACGUGUGUUGUGUGGCAGUCAGGAAUGUGUGAGGGACCCAGGGACCCUCAGUGACAAUCAACACUAGCGUCUGGUGUCGUGCGGCGACAGCUGAAAAAUCUGGUGGCUUGCUGUCUUCACAUCUGAACAGCUGGGCAGAUGCUGAUGGAAUAAUGAAACAGCCUCCUGUAUG